rnacentral:tRNA from 1 species
GGGGUUAUAGUUCACUUGGUAGAAUGCUUGCCUUGCAUGCAGAGGGCCCUGGGUUCAAACCCCAGCACCACCA